AGUAUUUUUGUAAAAAGUAUAUUUUUUUCGAGUGAAUAUACUUAACACAUUUGAUGAUGUAGAUUAGUAGCAUUUUUUUCGUCCCAGGUUAGUAUUAUCAAGAAUAUUUUAUUGAAAUGAUAGUCUUGCAUUGGUCUCUUUUCAGUACUCGUUUUACAUGAGCCGGAUAGAGGACAGACUGUACAUAAAACCUCGAAGUAGACAUAAAACCUUAUAGCUACAGACACCAACUCAGACACAUUUCAAUUCACAAGAGAUCAGGCAAGAUGUGCAUCAGCAGAUACAGAUGAACACCCAAGUUGCAACAUUAACAAGAAAGAGCCUCAGACUAAGUCACUGAGCGAGAUGCAAAUGUACUAUGCCAAACCGAACAGCUUGGCAGACAAACACGAAAAGUUCUACGUAAGAACUCACAGUACAGACUGAUAUUCUCAUUAACAAAUCCAAAAAUGACCUGAAACAUAUCUCCCCUUACAACCUCUUCUAAAGGUUCCGGAUCCACUGCUGGUUCCCCCACAUCAACCGCAGAUUAUGAAAAACAGCACAGGCAAUGAUGAUGCGGCUGACCUUGGCAGGCUUCAUUCUAAUCUGUUAUAAACAGAAAUUGGAGGAAUAACAUUGAAAAAUAAUGUGACAUCAAAAGUCAUUGUUAAAAAUGUUGUCAAAUUUGUCCCCAAUGCUUGAUGCAGAGUAAAUAGUAACAACUACUUUUGUCCCCCGAGUGUAACAAUUUACUAAUAUCUUAUGUAUUUCUUAUGAGCUCUAACAGAUACACAAAAACAUAUCUAAAUAUGUUUUGUAUUAGCUGGCAUUCAGUUAUGUAUCAGUACUUUACAGUAAUACGAGAAAGUUGUGUAUAAUGCUGUUACAUUGACUUGUUCAAUAUGUCAAAAUCAGUUACAUUAAUUCAUAUUUAGAAUAUUCAGCAUAUUUUUCUGUCUAUUAGUAAGUUGAAUUUAAGAACUGAAGUG